rnacentral:rRNA from 1 species
GUUGAACGCUGGCGGCAGGCCUAACACAUGCAAGUCGAACGAGUGGCGGACGGGUGUGUAAUGUCUGGGACCCUGCCUUAUGGCUGGGGAUAACUACUGGAAACGGUAGCUAAUCCGGCAUACCAUCCGAUGAUCCACGAUUGGAUUAGCUUGUUGGUGGGGUAACGGCUAACCACGGCGACGAUCCCUAGCUGGUCUGAGAGGAUGACCAGCAACACUGGAACUGAGACACGGUCCAGACUCCUACGGGAGGCAGCAGUGGGGAAUAUUGCACAAUGGGCGAAAGCCUGAUGCAGCCACGCCGCGUGUAUGAUGAAGGCCUUCGGGUCGUAAAGCACUUUUAGCGGGGAGGCGUUACCUGAAGAAGAAGCACCGGCUAACUCCGUGCCAGCAGCCGCGGUAAUUC